GAGUGAAGCACAAGGGAUUGAUUGAAAUACCCAAUCUUUCUGAGGAAAAUGAAGUAGAUGACACUGAGGUCAACGUUGAGUAAAAAGAAAGGAGAUGGGGUUAUACUGAAGGAUCUUAUGAAAACUGCAGGCACUGCCAAGGUCAGGGAGGCCCUUGGAGAUUACCUGAAGGCACUUAAGACGGAAUUUACAACGGGAAUGAUUUUACCAACGAAAGCUAUGGCAACCCAGGAAUUGACUGUCAAAAGAAAACUGAGUGGGAAUACCCUGCAGGUUCAGGCCUCAUCUCCAGUGGCACUGGGUGUAAGGAUUCCCACUGUGGCUCUUCACAUGAUGGAACUGUUUGACACAACUGUAGAGCAGCUGUAUAGCAUCUUCACUGUAAAGGAGUUAACAAAUAAGAAGAUCAUCAUGAAAUGGAGAUGUGGGAACUGGCCAGAAGAACACUAUGCCAUGGUUGCACUGAAUUUUGUGCCUACUCUAGGGCAAACAGAAUUACAAUUGAAGGAGUUCCUAUCUAUCUGUAAAGAAGAGAACAUGAAAUUCUGUUGGCAGAAGCAGCAUUUUGAAGAAAUAAAAGGUUCACUGCAGCUGACCCCCCUAAAUGGUUGAAUUAAAAUUUAUUAUAAGGCA
ensembl:lncRNA AHSA2P activator of HSP90 ATPase homolog 2, pseudogene